rnacentral:tmRNA from 1 species
GGGGGCGCCAAGGUUUCGACGGGGAUAGGAAGCGAAAGUUGCAUGCCGGGGAUGCCAGUUGGCCUCGUUAAAAAAUCUGGCACACACACAAACGCCGAUACUGACGUUCGUUACGCACUAGCGGCUUAAUUGCCGCUACGUCUCUUCGCUUCAUCGCCCAUGUGGGGUUUAGAGACGUCAUUAAUGUGGGAUAGUUCUCAAGUUCGCCUGCGGCAAGAGAGCGAAAUCUAGCAGGAUCCCCCAAAGAAAAUCCUGUCCGUGGGAGUUUCGAGGGUAAACUAAAAUACGGACUACGCAUGUAGAAGCUUCUCGUAGAUGAUUUUCGGACGCGGGUUCGAUUCCCGCCGCCUCCACCA